rnacentral:rRNA from 1 species
UACGUAGGGGGCAAGCGUUGUCCGGAUUUAUUGGGCGUAAAGCGCGCGUAGGCGGCGCGGUAUGUCGUGCGUGAAAUCUCCCGGCUUAACUGGGAGGGGCCGUGCGAAACUGCCGGGCUUGAGGUCGGAAGGGGAAAGUGGAAUUCCGGGUGUAGUGGUGGAAUACGUAGAUAUCCGGAGGAACACCAGCGGCGAAGGCGGCAUCCUGGACCGGCAUUGACGCUGAGGCGCGAAAGCCAGGGGAGCAAACGGG